GACGAACGCUGGCGGCGUGCCUAACACAUGCAAGUCUACUUGAAGAUUUAAGCUUGCUUAAAUCGGAUGGUGGCGAACGGGUGAGUAACGCGUAGACAAUCUGCCUUUCAGUACGGGAUAAUUCUGUGAAAACGGGACUAAUACCGCAUGACAUCACGGAGUGGCAUCACUCUGUGAUUAAAGACCUUGAGUCGCUGAAAGAGGAGUCUGCGUAACAUUAGUUAGUUGGUAAGGUAAUGGCUUACCAAGACAUCGAUGUUUAGCUGGUCUGAGAGGAUGAUCAGCCACACUGGGACUGAGAUACGGCCCAG
rnacentral:rRNA from 1 species